rnacentral:lncRNA from 1 species
GCCUCUUAUGGGAGUCCUGCUGUUUGCACUCAACAGCGCCGCAGGAGUCCACUUUUUUCUUAACAGUUUCAUCUAACUUAAAGGGCUCCUCCCUCUGGUCUCCCUCUGAGGCUAUCUGGGCAUUUAGGUAGUUUCCAAUUCUCUGUGGAAAUUACCCCCCAGGACAUCCAUCAUUAAAUACGAAGGCUUUCCCCACUUUCCUGAAAGUUACUGAGGACAAUUCUCAGAAGUGGAAAUCAUGGGGCCCAAAGAACUGAGAGUUCUCUUUGAAGCUAUCAUCAAAACUGUCUUCUAAAAGGCCUGUCUAGAGCCCAGCAGUACAACAUGGCCACCAUUAGCCAUCCCACUGUGGGAAAAAUGUGUGUGUGUGUGGUGCAGAAGCCAUGCUGACCUAGCACUGGAACCCAAUAAAUAACCUAGACUCACUAA